rnacentral:rRNA from 1 species
UUCUGGCUCAGGAUGAACGCUAGCUACAGGCUUAACACAUGCAAGUCGAGGGGCAGCAUUGGAGUAGCAAUACUUCAGAUGGCGACCGGCGCACGGGUGAGUAACACGUAUCCAACCUGCCGCUUACUCGGGGAUAGCCUUUCGAAAGAAAGAUUAAUACCCGAUGGUAUAAAGAGUUCGCAUGUUCUCUUUAUUAAAGAAUUUCGGUAAGCGAUGGGGAUGCGUUCCAUUAGAUUGUUGGCGGGGUAACGGCCCACCAAGUCUACGAUGGAUGGGGGUUCUGAGAGGAAGGUCCCCCACAUUGGAACUGAGACACGGUCCAAACUCCUACGGGAGGCAGCAGUGAGGAAUAUUGGUCAAUGGACGAGAGUCUGAACCAGCCAAAGUAGCGUGAAGGAUGACUGCCCUAUGGGUUGUAAACUUCUUUUAUAAGGGAAUAAAGUGAGGGACGUGUCCCUUUUUGUAUGUACCUUAUGAAUAAGGAUCGGCUAACUCCGUGCCAGCCGCGGC